UCAGCAUUGAAGGCUGAAUUUGGGGAAUUUUGAACGAUUAUAGGGAAUUUUUUGCAGCUGUCUAGGGAAAUGCUGUUGAAAACUGGGAACCUGCCUCAAAAUGAAUACAAACAUUGCGUCCUGGGAAGUGCUGCGGUACGUAUUAGGUUGCUGGUGAUGUUCGUAGGCCAAGAAGAAAAGAGUCCAAUAUUUCUCCCUUGAAGAAGGGAGCCAGUUAGAAGAAAGGCGCCUUCCUUGCCAACAUAUCCAGCAGAAUGUAACCAGUUGUAACCAGAAGGCAGGGGUUUGCUUUCAUCAAUCUCAACCAACUUCAACCCAGAACAUGACGAAGCAUCAGCCUUGACUAUCAAGUUCUUCUUGGAAUCUACGAAGCAGAACACCUGAGAAUAUAAGGCAUUGGAAGGAAGAACCCCCAUUGCAGGUGCCGAUGCAGAAGUUUUGGACGAGGGAACAGCCGAACACACACAGAGGAGGUAGUUCAACCACGACGAUCGGCUCGCCUUUUGGCCAGACAUUUGAACGAGGGAAUAACAUGAUUAAGAUAGUUUGUUUUGGUUGUUAUCUCCCUUGGAGACGUUU